CCUACGGGUGGCUGCAGUGGGGAAUAUUGGGCAAUGGGCGCAAGCCUGACCCAGCAACGCCGCGUGAAGGAAGAAGGCUUUCGGGUGAUAAACUUCUUUUCUGAGGGACGAAGAAAGUGACGGUACCUCAGGAAUAAGCCACGGCUAACUACGUGCCAGCAGCCGCGGUAAUACGUAGGUGGCAAGCGUUAUCCGGAUGUAUUGGGUGUAAAGGGCGUGUAGGCGGGAAAGCACGUCAGAUGUGAAAACUCAGGGCUAAACCAUGAGCCUGCAUUUGAAACUGUUUUUCUUGAGUUCUGGAGCGGCAAUCGGAAUUCCGUGUGUAGCGGUGAAAUGCGUAGAUAUACGGAGGAACACCAGUGGCGAAGGCCGAUUGCUGGACAGUAACUGACGCUGAGGCGCGAAAGCGUGGGGAGCAAACAGGAUUAGAUACCCUUGUAGUC
rnacentral:rRNA from 1 species